rnacentral:rRNA from 1 species
CUACGGGAGGCAGCAGUGAGGAAUAUUGCACAAUGGAGGAAACUCUGAUGCAGCAACGCCGCGUGGAGGAUGACGCAUUUCGGUGUGUAAACUCCUUUUAUAUGUCAAGAAAAUGACGGUAGCAUAUGAAUAAGCUCCGGCUAACUCCGUGCCAGCAGCCGCGGUAAUACGGAGGGAGCAAGCGUUACUCGGAAUCACUGGGCGUAAAGGACGCGUAGGCGGGAUAGAAAGUCAGGUGUGAAAUCCUAUGGCUCAACCAUAGAACUGCACUUGAAACUUCUAACCUAGAGUAUGGGAGGGGAAGAUGGAAUUAGUGGUGUAGGGGUAAAAUCCGUAGAUAUCACUAGGAAUACCAAAGGCGAAGGCGAUCUUCUGGAACAAUACUGACGCUAAGGCGUGAAAGCGUGGGGAGCAAACAGGAUUAGAUACCCCCGUAGUC